rnacentral:rRNA from 2 species
GUAAGGAGCCAGCGGCCGAAGGUGGGAUUAGUGAUUGGGGUGAAGUCGUAACAAGGUAGCCGUAGGAGAACCUGCGGCUGGAUCACCUCCUUUCUAAGGAGA